GAGGGACCUCCCAACCGAGGCCUCCAGCCACCCCUGCCAGUGUUCUGGGGCUGACAGAGAUUUGAAUUCUCCCUGCCAUGAAGGCCUCAGGGUCUGGCCCAGUGAGGGACCUCCCAACCAUGGCCUCCAGCCACCCCCGCUGGUGUUCCAGGGCUGACAGAGAUCUGAAUUCUCCCUGGCACGUAGUUCUCAAGGUCCUGCCCAAUGAGGGUCCUUUUACCUGGGGUCCCCAGCCACCCCCUCCAGUGUUCUCAGGCAGACAGAGAUUCGAAUUCUCCCUGGCACAUAGUUCUUGAGGUCCUGCCCAGCGAGGGUCCUUUUAGCUGGGGUCUCCAGCCAACCCCACUGGUGUUCUGGGGCUGACAGAGGUUCGAGUUCUCCCUGGCAUGACGGCCUUGGGGUCCCGCCCAGUGAGGGACCUCCCA
rnacentral:lncRNA from 1 species